rnacentral:rRNA from 1 species
UAGGGAAUCUUCGGCAAUGGGGGGAACCCUGACCGAGCAACGCCNCGUGAGUGAAGAAGGUUUUCGGAUCGUAAAGCUCUGUUGUUAAGGAAGAACGAGUGUGAGAAUGGAAAGUUCAUACUGUGACGGUACUUAACCAGAAAGGGACGGCUAACUACGUGCCAGCAGCCGCGGUAAUACGUAGGUCCCGAGCGUUGUCCGGAUUUAUUGGGCGUAAAGCGAGCGCAGGCGGUUAGAAAAGUCUGAAGUGAAAGGCAGUGGCUCAACCAUUGUAGGCUUUGGAAACUGUUUAACUUGAGUGCAGAAGGGGAGAGUGGAAUUCCAUGUGUAGCGGUGAAAUGCGUAGAUAUAUGGAGGAACACCGGUGGCGAAAGCGGCUCUCUGGUCUGUAACUGACGCUGAGGCUCGAAAGCGUGGGGAGCGAACAGGAUUAGAUACCCUGGUAGUCCACGCCGUAAACGAUGAGUGCUAGGUGUUAGGUCCUUUCCGGGACUUAGUGCCGCAGCUAACGCAUUAAGCACUCCGCCUGGGGAGUACGACCGCNGNUG